GUGCUGGAAACAAACUUCCUGCUGAGGAGACACAGGUCUCAGAAAGAGAAGGUCACUUCUACAUCACCCUCCAAACUACUGUGACCAAGACCGAAACCAACCGCUUCCACUGUGUAGUCCAGCAGGACGACAUCGGUCAUAUAAUCAGUAGUAACAUCACUUUGCCAGAGAAACUGUUUGAGGACACAUACAGCAAAGGAGUUGUCGUAGGAUUGUUUUUUGGUGGAUUCUCUUUAGGAGCUCUACCUCUGGCAGUUCUAGUUUUGCUUGUAGCUACAAAGAUCAUCACAGUACGCUGUAAUAAAGGAGCAGCUAAUGAGAAACAGAAAAACAGGAAGAAAAACAAAAGAGGGGAGGAAUCAAACCUGCAGGCUCCAUCAGGU